UUAGUGGCGGACUGGUGAGUAACGCGUGAGCAACCUGCCUAUUAGAGGGGAAUAACAGUGAGAAAUCAUUGCUAAUACCGCAUAAGCUAGUAAUGCUGCAUGGCAUAGCUAGAAAAGGAGUAAUCCGCUAAUAGAUGGGCUCGCGUCCGAUUAGCUAGUUGGUGGGGUAAAGGCUUACCAAGGCGACGAUCGGUAGCCGAGCUGAGAGGCUCUACGGCCACAUUGGGACUGAGAUACGGCCCAGACUCCUACGGGAGGCAGCAGUCGGGAAUAUUGCGCAAUGGAGGAAACUCUGACGCAGUGACGCCGCGUAUAGGAAGAAGGUUUUAGGAUUGUAAACUAUUUUAGACAGGGAAGAAGAAAGACAGUACCUGUAGAAUAAGCUCCGGCUAACUACGUGCCAGCAGCCGCGGUAAUACGUAGGGAGCAAGCGUUAUCCGGAAUUAUUGGGUGUAAAGGGUGCGUAGACGGGAAUUUAAGUUGGUUGUGAAAUCCCUUGGCUUAACUGAGGAACUGCAACCAAAACUGGAUUUCUUGAGUGCAGGUGAGGAAAGCGGAAUUCCUAGUGUAGCGGUGAAAUGCGUAGAUAUUAGGAGGAACACCAGUGGCGAAGGCGGCUUUCUGGACUGCAACUGACGUUGAGGCACGAAAGUGUGGGGAGCAAACAGGAUUAGAUACCCUGGUAGUCCACACCGUAAACGAUGGAUACUAAGGUGUAGGAGAUGAUUUCAUCAUCUGUGCCGAAAGCAAACGCAAUAAGUAUCCCACCUGGGGAGUACGGCCGCAAGGUUGAAACUCAAAGGAAUUGACGGGGGCCCGCACAAGCAGUGGAGUAUGUGGUUUAAUUUGAAGCAACGCGAAGAACCUUACCAGGGCUUGACAUAUAGAGGAAUAUUUAAGAGAUUAGAUAGUACUUCGGUACCUCUAUACAGGUGGUGCAUGGUUGUCGUCAGCUCGUGUCGUGAGAUGUUGGGUUAAGUCCCGCAACGAGCGCAACCCCUAUUUCUAGUUGCCAGCAUGUAAAGAUGGGAACUCUAGAGAGACUGCCGGUGAUAAAUCGGAGGAAGGUGGGGACGACGUCAAAUCAUCAUGCCCUUUAUGUCCUGGGCUACACACGUACUACAAUGGCCGCAACAGAGAGAAACGAAACAGUGAUGUGGAGUAAAACUUAAAAAACGGCCUCAGUUCGGAUUGAAGGCUGAAAUUCGCCUUUAUGAAGUCGGAAUUGCUAGUAAUGGCAGGUCAGCAUACUGCCGUGAAUACGUACCCGGGCCUUGCACACACCGCCCGUCA
rnacentral:rRNA from 1 species